rnacentral:lncRNA from 1 species
AGGUAGAGGUGCCCCUACUGCAGGUAGUUGUUUUUGUUGGAGUUCAUGUACAUACAGACGUUUAACUCGCCCGUGCAAGUAGUUUUGUGAUCUGGGAUUUGGCGUAUGUAUAUGGAACUCGGUUUGUUUUUGUUACUGGUUUUUCUAGCAGCUCUAUACUACUAUUUGUAGUAUUGUAUGUUUUACAUAUACAGCUAUCGCUUCGUAUACAGGAAAUUUUUUUUUGUAUACGGCGGAUUUGUCGGCGUGCCCGGGAAACGUGUAAUCCGGCGCGUGACAGAUUAAGUUUGGUAUCAGAACUUAGCUGUAGGUCGUUGGGACCUAGAAAAUCUAAGUUUGGCAAACCUUAGGAAGGAAAGAUGCGAGAGGCGUAAUUUAUUGCGAAAGUCAAUGAUUAAUUGUUCUAACUCCUCCUAGAGUGGGGUGAGUGAUUGAAAGAGUGCCUGUUUUGGCCUUAGAAAUUAUGUUGGCUGUAGACGACAUAAUUUUGGAGGAAAACAGGCCUUCCAGACUUUCAUUGAUUGGGUCGAGAGUGUUUGUGUUUCAUCUGAGCCUGAUCUAUUCCUUUCAGCUAUGUAUCGUCGCCGAGGUCGACCGUUGUUACUGGAUGUUAAGGAUUUUCUAGGUUGGCGGAUUUCAUAUAGUCGAAUGGAGUCUUGAAGAGUUGAUCGCGGAGGUUUGAAGAGAAGAUUCACUUUGAAGAAUCAAAGA